rnacentral:rRNA from 1 species
CCUACGGGUGGCAGCAGUCGAGAAUCAUUCACAAUGGGGGAAACCCUGAUGGUGCGACGCCGCGUGGGGGAAUGAAGGUCUUCGGAUUGUAAACCCCUGUCAUGUGGGAGCAAAUUAAAAAGAUAGUACCACAAGAGGAAGAGACGGCUAACUCUGUGCCAGCAGCCGCGGUAAUACAGAGGUCUCAAGCGUUGUUCGGAAUCACUGGGCGUAAAGCGUGCGUAGGCUGUUUCGUAAGUCGUGUGUGAAAGGCGCGGGCUCAACCCGCGGACGGCAGAUGAUACUGCGAGACUAGAGUAGUGGAGGGGGAACCGGAAUGCUCGGUGUAGCAGUGAAAUGCGUAGAUAUCGAGAGGAACACUCGUGGCGAAGGCGGGUUCCUGGACAUUAACUGACGCUGAGGCACGAAGGCCAGGGGAGCGAAAGGGAUUAGAUACCCGGGUAGUC